CAGCCGGUAAGUCAGGUGCCGAGGCUGGAAAGACUCUGUGCCAGACCCAUUGGCAGUUGGCCCUUCAGCUGCUGUACAGCCUCGGUAGGGGCCCAGGGGUAUUGAAUCUGGUUUUGGACCACAGGAGGAGAGUGAAGUGAAGUACAACCAAUAUUGUCAACAGCAAGAUCGUCAAGAGUUGCUUUCUACUGUACCAUGAGUCCAACUAAGCCUAUCUAAAAUAGGGCUGGUGAUACACACUUCUCUCAUCUGGAGCUUCAUGGGUGAAUUCCAAAUUCUUCUGUCCCAUGAUCUGCAUCAAGGCAUCUAAUUUAUACUUAAAAGCUUUUGUUACUAAAUUUGGACUCUGUCCAAAAUAACCACUCACUGCAUGCUGUUAUUGCCUACCAUUAUUUUUAAAAAAAUACUUUUCAUAAUCUGAAGCUAUCCGGUAUUGAAUGUUUACCAUGAGUUUCCUGCUGCUAGAAGGUAAACUUAGUGAGAACAGAGACACAAAUAACUUUUUUUCACUAUCGCAUCCUCAUUGCCUAGAAGAGUGCCUGGCGUACAGAAGACAGUCAAUAGAUAUCAGUUGAAUAAAUGAAUGACCUAGCAUAGUAGACAUUCAAUAAAUAUCAGUUGAAUGAAUGAAUGAGCCGACAUAUAGUAGGCAUUCUAUAAAUAUCAGUUGAAUGAAUGACGAACAGCAGGAAAGAGAUAAAGUGAUGGUAAAGAGUGAUUGAGCAUGGAAUGAGCGGUUUUCUUUGUGUGUGUGUGUGUGUGUGUGUGUGUGUGUGUUUUGUAACAGAUAAUUAGAAAAUACCUUUUCUGAGCAACUGAUGACAUUUGACCAGAACUGGAAUGAUGAAAGCAGGACUAUUUUAUCUACUAGGAAUUAUAAGCAUAAUGCCUGUGACUAAGAGUUUUUCAGCACCUGGGAAAGUGUUUCAGGCCUGGAAAAAUAUUACUGGCAUUAAUUUAUGAAAAGAAUACAGCAAAAUUGAAACCAACAAUAUUUAUUUAAAUGCAUAC
rnacentral:lncRNA from 10 species